UUGACCUCGGAUCAGGCAGGM
rnacentral:rRNA from 1 species